rnacentral:rRNA from 1 species
CGGCGCACGGGUGAGUAACACGUAUCCAACCUUCCAUUAACUCGGGGAUAGCCUUUCGAAAGAAAGAUUAAUACCCGAUAGUAUAGCAUUUCCUCCUGGUUUUGCUAUUAAAGAAUUUCGGUUAUUGAUGGGGAUGCGUUCCAUUAGUUUGUUGGCGGGGUAACGGCCCACCAAGACUUCGAUGGAUAGGGGUUCUGAGAGGAAGGUCCCCCACAUUGGAACUGAGACACGGUCCAAACUCCUACGGGAGGCAGCAGUGAGGAAUAUUGGUCAAUGGACGGGAGUCUGAACCAGCCAAGUAGCGUGAAGGAUGAAGGCUCUAUGGGUCGUAAACUUCUUUUAUACGGGAAUAAAGUGAACCACGUGUGGUUUUUUGUAUGUACCGUAUGAAUAAGGAUCGGCUAACUCCGUGCCAGCAGCCGCGGUAAUACGGAGGAUCCGAGCGUUAUCCGGAUUUAUUGGGUUUA